ACAUUAGUUAUAUAAUCUCCUAUGAAAUGGUUCAUCUAAAUCUAUGUUUGUUAGUUAUAUGCAAGAUAUGGCAUGGUAUGGCACACUGCAUGUGUAAAAGUGGAUGAAAGCACUAAAGAAAACGAUAACGAUAAACUUUAAAGCAGAAUCUUGUCAUGCGAUUAUGGUGGCGAUAUGAGAGAACUACUGUGG